CCUACGGGCGGCUGCAGUGGGGAAUAUUGCACAAUGGGCGCAAGCCUGAUGCAGCCAUGCCGCGUGUGUGAAGAAGGCCUUCGGGUUGUAAAGCACUUUCAGCGGGGAGGAAGGCGGCGAGGUUAAUAACCUCAUCGAUUGACGUUACCCGCAGAAGAAGCACCGGCUAACUCCGUGCCAGCAGCCGCGGUAAUACGGAGGGUGCAAGCGUUAAUCGGAAUUACUGGGCGUAAAGCGCACGCAGGCGGUCUGUCAAGUCGGAUGUGAAAUCCCCGGGCUCAACCUGGGAACUGCAUUCGAAACUGGCAGGCUAGAGUCUUGUAGAGGGGGGUAGAAUUCCAGGUGUAGCGGUGAAAUGCGUAGAGAUCUGGAGGAAUACCGGUGGCGAAGGCGGCCCCCUGGACAAAGACUGACGCUCAGGUGCGAAAGCGUGGGGAGCAAACAGGAUUAGAUACCCCGGUAGUC
rnacentral:rRNA from 1 species